UUAUGUUGGAAAUGAUAAUAAUAGUGGGAAGUGAUCACUAGCAAAAGUAGAUCGUAAUGGAUCCCAGGACAAAGAAGAAGCAAGAUUGGGUGUAGUGACUGUUAAAUCUGGAGCACUUGGGCCCUCGUCAGGAUGAGAACGUCGUGUAGGACGACCAUCAUUUAAUAUACACAAAUUCACUGAAUCAAAUAUAUCUAUUAAUGUGUUACCAUAACUAUUAGAAGAUAAGUAACCCCAGGAUUCAUGGCGACAGUUAAAAUCACCAAGGAUCAUAAAAGGCUUCGGAAGAAUGGAAAUAAUAUCUUUAAUUUCAUUUAAGAUUGCAGAAGAAGGAUGAGGUAUAUAAAUAGAUACAUAUCAGAUAUUUUCAACUAAAGCAGCAAUAAUAGAAAAAUCAUUACUGUGAGAAGGAAUAGAGAAGAGAGAAAAGGAAAGAGGGUGUUUCACAAGCAUGGCUACUCCGCCAUGCCCAUCCACACGAUCUUCUCUGAGACAUGAAUAACCACGAAUCUUAAACAAAGAUCCUGGUUUCAACCAUGUCUCUUGAAGAGCACAGAUAUAAGAAACUAAUAAGGCAGCGUUGGACGGUGAAAAUUCAUUCGAUUGACUAAGAGAUUUUAUAAGAGAAAUAAUUAAAUCAAUUACUGAGGAUUCCAAA